CUCAAUGGGCGAAAGCCUGAAGCAGCAACGCCGCGUGGGGGAUGAAGGUUCUCGGAUUGUAAACCCCUUUCGACCGGAACGAAUCUCCUCCUGGUAAACAAUCAGGAGGAUCGACGGUACCGGGAGAAGAAGCCACGGCUAACUCUGUGCCAGCAGCCGCGGUAAGACAGAGGUGGCUAGCGUUGUUCGGAUUUAUUGGGCGUAAAGCGCACGCAGGCGGUUUGGUAAGUCAGAGGUGAAAUUCCGCAGCUUAACUGCGGAACUGCCUUUGAUACUGCCUUUCUAGAGUAUAGGAGGGGGAAGCGGAAUUCCGAGUGUAGAGCUGAAAU
rnacentral:rRNA from 1 species